CUUCUUCGAUCGCCCCCGCUCGCAAAUCGCAAUGGCUCUGCUCUCAUCCAAUCUCCUAGCAUUAAACACAAUAAAUCCGUCUUCAAGGCAAUAGAAACUGCUCCGAAAAUUUCUUCCGCCGCCGCCGUCUUAAAGGGCCGCGAUGGUGCUGUCCGCCCCCACAACGAACUGGCCAAGCUACGCCGCUGCAGCCAAGACGGGCAGCUGCUUGAACGCCGGUUCAUCUCCGCCUACGGAAGUUGUCGCGGCUCCGGAUUUCGGCUGCUACCCCAGGCCCUACGGUUUUCUUGGAAUUGAUUUCGGAUUGAUUUGUACACCUGUUCAUCAUCCACAGUGUACACUGCAUUCUUCAACUGGUUGAUCUCCGCGUACGGAAUUUAUUGGUACAUGCCCAGCUUUUGGCCAACUUUGUGAAGGCAAGGUACCGUAAUUACGGCUGACCACAUUAAGGACACCGCAACAUCCCUCUAUAUAACAGAACACCAACAAUACCAAUUUAUCUGUCCAUAUCAACAUACAUAACCAACUUUCAAC